rnacentral:lncRNA from 1 species
UCAAGACGACCAAAGUGAAACCUUAAGAUUAUCAUUUAAAUCAUAGCCGAAACUUCGUAAGACCUCAAAGUAUUGCGACUUCAUAAGAAUUGACCAUCAUGCUGCACAUGAUCAAAAGGGCCAGUUUCCUGAUUCAAAUAGUGGUGGUUGUUAACAAUAUAUUACAGUAAACCAAAUACUCUGAAUUUAAACAGUAGUCUCACCACCUCGAAACCCAAGGUGAGGCUCCACACUAGUUAUUGCCUCUAAUCACAUUCACUAGGGCUAUUUCCUAAAGCCAUGGUUAAUUGUAAGAGAUCGCCUAGGGCCAGCUCCAUGAAUAACAUAAAGAACGGCGAUUGAGUUCCUGAUGUUGAAUUUUAUGCUAAUAAAUUUAAACAUCCAGUAAAUCCAGGCCCAACCCUAGAUACUGCAAUUUUAUCAGGUUCUGCUAACCAUAGAAACGUUUGAUUUCAAAAGAUCUCAAAAGAUGCCUGGUAAUAUGGAAAACUGAGAAAGAAUAUGACCAAACCAAAAUGUACAUCCAAUUAGUUGCACAUACAAGAACAUGAGUUUACAUGCCUACUGAGAAAAUGGUUAGCCGUACAGUUUAAAAUAUUGAUACUGCAGUCCAAAUCCAAAGAUCAUAUGGUCAUUGGCAGAAUUUUUUGAGUUGCAACCUGAGGCUUGAUCUCCCACGAAGCCAUUUGAUCAGCCUCUUCA